rnacentral:tRNA from 1 species
GGAGAAGUGCCAGAGUGGUCGAAUGGGACUGACUCGAAAUCAGUUGUACGGGUAACCGUACCGGGGGUUCGAAUCCCUCCUUCUCCGCCA